rnacentral:rRNA from 1 species
AACGAACGCUGGCGGCAGGCCUAACACAUGCAAGUCGAACGAGACCUUCGGGUCUAGUGGCGCACGGGUGCGUAACGCGUGGGAACCUGCCCUUAGGUUCGGAAUAACUCCCCGAAAGGGGUGCUAAUACCGGAUAAUGUCUUCGGACCAAAGAUUUAUCGCCUUUGGAUGGGCCCGCGUUGGAUUAGCUAGUUGGUAGGGUAAAAGCCUACCAAGGCGACGAUCCAUAGCUGGUCUGAGAGGAUGAUCCGCCACACUGGGACUGAGACACGGCCCAGACUCCUACGGGAGGCAGCAGUGGGGAAUAUUGGACAAUGGGCGAAAGCCUGAUCCAGCAAUGCCGCGUGAGUGAUGAAGGCCUUAGGGUUGUAAAGCUCUUUUACCCGGGAUGAUAAUGACAGUACCGGGAGAAUAAGCUCCGGCUAACUCCGUG